GUUAAAUCAACUGAGGCUGAGGAGCACUAGGAUUCUGAGCUGAGGAUCAAGUGGACAAAUUCGUGCUGCAAGGAGGACAGAAGACUCCUGUGGAUGACAUUUUACAAAGUAAGGAGCAUCCUGAUUGCUGAACACGUGGAGGUGCCUGCAGAGCGUCACCCCGGACGGCGCAUGGACUCCCACAAUGCCUUGCCCUGUGCUUCUCUUCAUCUAAAUUGUCUUUUGUAUCCUUUAUUAUAUACUUUAAAUAAACUAGCAAAUGGGCUGGGCGCGGUGGCUCACGUCUGUAAUCCCAGCACUUUGGGAGGCCGAGGCUGGUGGAUCACUCAAGGUCAGGAGUUUGAGACCAGCCUGGCCAACAUAGCGAAACACUGUCUCUACUAAAAAUACAAAAAUAAGCCAGGCAUGGUGGCGGGUGCCUAUAAUCCCAGCUACUCAGGAGGCUGAGGCAGGAGAAUCGCUUGAACCCGGAGGGCGGAGGUUGCAUUGAGCCAAG
rnacentral:lncRNA from 1 species